rnacentral:rRNA from 1 species
UGGGGAAUUUUGCACAAUGGGGGAAACCCUGAUGCAGCGACGCCGCGUGAUUUAGAAGGCCUUCGGGUUGUAAAAAUCUUUUCUAUGGGAAGAAAAUGACAGUACCAUAGGAAUAAGGACCGGCUAAUUACGUGCCAGCAGCCGCGGUAAUACGUAAGGUCCGAGCGUUGUCCGGAAUCAUUGGGCGUAAAGGGUACGUAGGCGGGUAAGCAAGUUAGAAGUGAAAUCCUAUAGCUCAACUAUAGUAAGCUUUUAAAACUGCUCAUCUUGAUGUAUUGAAGGGAAAGUGGAAUUCCUAGUGUAGCGGUGAAAGGCGCAGAUAGUAGGAUGAAUACCGGUGGCUAAGGCGACUUUCUGGCCAUAACCUGACGCUGAGGUACGAAAGCGUGGGUAGCAAACAGG